rnacentral:tRNA from 1 species
GGUUGUGGCUCAGUGGUAGAGCUCUCGCCUCACACGUGCGAGACCUUGGGUUUGAUCCUCAGCACCA